UACAGAGGGUGCGAGCGUUAAUCGGAAUUACUGGGCGUAAAGCGCGCGUAGGCGGCUUUGCAAGUCGAUUGUGAAAUCCCCAGGCUUAACCUGGGAACUGCAUUCGAGACUGCAUAGCUAGAGUAUGGGAGAGGGAAGUGGAAUUUCAGGUGUAGCGGUGAAAUGCGUAGAUAUCGGAAGGAACACCAGUGGCGAAAGCGGCUUCCUGGUCCAGCACCGACGUUCAGGCACGAAAGCGUGGGGAGCAAACAGG
rnacentral:rRNA from 1 species